CAGUCGCCGCGGGAAUACAGAGGGUGCAAGCGUUAAUCGGAAUUACUGGGCGUAAAGCGCGCGUAGGUGGUUCGCCAAGUUGGAUGUGAAAUCCCCGGGCUCAACCUGGGAACUGCAUCCAAAACUGGCGAGCUAGAGUAUGGUAGAGGGUGGUGGAAUUUCCUGUGUAGCGGUGAAGUGCGUAGAUAUAGGAAGCAACAUCAGUGGCGAAGGCGACCACCUGGACUGAUACUGACACUGAGGUGCGAAAGCGUGGGGAGCAAACAGGAUUAGAUACCCCAGUAGUCCCUGUCUCUUAUAC
rnacentral:rRNA from 1 species